ensembl:rRNA 5_8S_rRNA 5.8S ribosomal RNA
GACUUUUAGCAGUGGAUCACUGGGCUUCUGCGUCGAUGAAGAACGUAGCUAGCUGUGAGAACUAAUGUGAAUUGCAGGACAUCGACACUUCAAAUGCAAUUGCAGCCCAGGUUCCUCCCAGGGCUUUGCCUGUCUGAGCGUCG